rnacentral:rRNA from 1 species
CAUCCUAUGCUGGCUGUCCGGGUGUGUAAAAUACACCUGUUAGCAAGGGCCGGGCAAGACCGGUGCCAGCCGCCGCGGUAACACCGGCGGCCCGAGUGGUGAUCGUGAUUAUUGGGUCUAAAGGGUCCGUAGCCGGUUUGGUCAGUCCUCCGGGAAAUCUGACAGCUUAACUGUUAGGCUUUCGGAGGAUACUGCCAGACUUGGAACCGGGAGAGGUAAGAGGUACUACAGGGGUAGGAGUGAAAUCUUGUGAUCCCUGUGGGACCACCUGUGGCGAAGGCGUCUUACCAGAACGGGUUUGACGGUGAGGGACGAAAGCUGGGGGCACGAACCGGAUUAGAUACCCGGGUAGUCCCAGCCGUAAACGAUGCUCGCUAGGUGUCAGGCAUGGCGCGACCGUGUCUGGUGCCGCAGGGAAGCCGUGAAGCGAGCCACCUGGGAAGUACGGCCGCAAGGCUGAAACUUAA